UUCAGCUGAUCCUCAGGCACAGAGCAAUGAAGUAGAUGGUUACAAUCAAACCGUAAAGAGAGAUGAGCUGCUGAUUAGAUACAACAACCUGACUUCAGAGAGAGACGAGCUGCUGAUUAGAUACAACAACCUGACUUUUGAGAGAGACGAGCUGCUGAUUGGAUACAACAACCUGACUUUAGAGAGAGACGAGCUGCUGAUUAGAUACAACAACCUGACUUUUGAGAGAGACGAGCUGCUGAUUGGAUACAACAACCUGACUUUAGAGAGAGACGAGCUGCUGAUUAGAUACAACAACCUGACUUUUGAGAGAGACGAGCUGCUGAUUGGAUACAACAACCUGACUUUUGAGAGAGACGAGCUGCUGAUUAGAUACAACAACCUGACUUUUGAGAGAGACGAGCUGCUGAUUAGAUACAACAACCUGACUUUAGAGAGAGACAAGCUGCUGACUAGAUACCACAACCUGAAUGUAGAGAAAGGUGACAUCAGAGUAAGAGAUGAACAGCAGCAAGCAAAAAAAAAAAAAAAGAGAAUUGGAGAAUAAAUUGGACAAGAUAAAAACCAACAAGAAACAGAUUGAGAAUUUAGAGACCGCCUUCAAAACAGGUUGGAUGCUUUUGAUUUCUUAUGACCUGAUAUUGGUUUGUCUUACGGAAAAAGUGGCCAGUAUGCUAUUUUCUACUAUGUGAUCAGAUAAACAGAUGCACAGAUGGACGCAAUUCGUCACCAGUGUUUACUACAUCUCGGUAAGGGGGAGCUGGACUGAGAGAAGACAGGACUGCACAGACAAAGGAGCGGACCUGGUGAUCAUUAACAGCAGAGAGGAACAGGUACAGGAUGAACGAGGAACUCAGGAGUUAUGGAACAGCCACAAAAUGUGCAAUAACUGUCCGCCAGGCAGAUGGAAAGCAGCACUGGACGGAUAAAAACUGGAAUGAGCGGUUUGUUUGGAUUUGUGAGAAAAAAACGUUGAAAAAAAAUUGAUAUCUGUGUGAUAUAAAGUAUCAUUCACAUUCUAAUCACGCGUGCAGUGUUGCUAAUUAAAUUGGUUCUUAAUAAAGUAAAUAGGGCGUAAUGUAUACUACAUAAUGCAUAGUGUCAUAAUGCAAAUCAUUAGCGUCUAGUUCAAUAUUUAUAUGGCAGCAGAUGAGAAACUAGAACCUGCUUAAAUAUCAUCCUUACAACAUACAAUACUUAUGUAUUUAACAUAAUCAGAAUUGGUCUAGGGCUGUGUUCACUUGUGUACUUUUUAUAUGCUUAAAUACCACUUGUUCUUGUACUUUUAAUUAAACCUUGUAUAUUCUA